AUUGAACGCUGGCGGCAUGCCUUACACAUGCAAGUCGAACGGUAACAGGUCUUCGGAUGCUGACGAGUGGCGAACGGGUGAGUAACACGUAGGUUAUCUACCCUCAAGACGGGGACAACCCAGGGAAACUUGGGCUAAUACCGGAUGUGAGCAACUUUUAGUUGUUUGAAAGGUGGCGUAAGCUGUCGCUUGGGGAUGAGCCUGCGUCCUAUUAGUUAGUUGGUGAGGUAACGGCUCACCUAGGCAAUGAUAGGUAGGCGGCCUUAACGGGUGGUCGCCCACACUGGGAUUGAGAUACGGCCCAGACUCCUACGGGAGGCAGCAGUCGAGAAUAGUCUACAAUGGUCGGAAGACUGAUAGUGCGACGCCGCGUGAACGAUGAAUCCCUUCGGGGUGUAAAGUUCUUUUAUAUGUGAGCAGUGCUUCUUAUAUUAACAGUAUGGGGAGAGAGAUAUUAGCAUAUGAAUAAGCAACGGCUAACUCCGUGCCAGCAGCCGAC
rnacentral:rRNA from 1 species